rnacentral:rRNA from 1 species
UGGGGAAUAUUGGACAAUGGACCAAGAGUCUGAUCCAGCAAUUCUGUGUGCACGAUGACGUUUUUCGGAAUGUAAAGUGCUUUCAGUUGGGAAGAAAAAAAUGACGGUACCAACAGAAGAAGUGACGGCUAAAUACGUGCCAGCAGCCGCGGUAAUACGUAUGUCACAAGCGUUAUCCGGAUUUAUUGGGCGUAAAGCGCGUCUAGGUGGUUACGUAAGUCUGAUGUGAAAAUGCAGGGCUCAACUCUGUAUUGCGUUGGAAACUGUGUAACUAGAGUACUGGAGAGGUAAGCGGAACUACAAGUGUAGAGGUGAAAUUCGUAGAUAUUUGUAGGAAUGCCGAUGGGGAAGCCAGCUUACUGGACAGAUACUGACGCUGAAGCGCGAAAGCGUGGGUAGCAAACAGGAUUAGAUACCCUGGUAGUCCACGCCGUAAACGAUGAUUACUAGGUGUUGGGGGUCGAACCUCAGCGCCCAAGCAAACGCGAUAAGUAAUCCGCCUGGGGAGUACGUACGCAAGUAUG